UACGUAGGGGCCGAGCGUUGUCCGGAGUUACUGGGCGUAAAGCGCGCGCAGGCGGCUCGUCAAGCCUGACGUGAAAGCCCCCGGCUCAACCGGGGAGGGUCGUCGGGGACUGGCGGGCUUGAGGUCGGCAGGGGUUGGUGGAAUUCCCGGUGUAGUGGUGAAAUGCGUAGAUAUCGCUUGGAACGCCAACGGUGAAAACAGCUCGCUGGGGGUGUGCUGACGCUGAGACACGAAAGCCAGGGGAGCGAACGGG
rnacentral:rRNA from 1 species